rnacentral:rRNA from 1 species
UACGGAGGGUGCAAGCGUUAUCCGGAUUCACUGGGUUUAAAGGGUGUGUAGGCGGGCAUGUAAGUCCGAGGUGAAAUCUCCGAGCUCAACUUGGAAACUGCCUUGGAUACUAUAUGUCUUGAAUAUCGUUGAGGUAGGCGGAAUAUGUCAUGUAGCGGUGAAAUGCUUAGAUAUGACAUAGAACACCGAUUGCGAAGGCAGCUUGCUAAACGAUUAUUGACGCUGAGGCACGAAAGCGUGGGGAUCAAACAGGAUUAGAUACCCUGGUAGUCCACGCCCUAAACGAUGAUUACUCGACAUACGCGAUAUACAGUGUGUGUCUGAGCGAAAGCAUUAAGUAAUCCACCUGGGAAGUACGUCCGCAAGGAUG